rnacentral:snRNA from 1 species
ACAAAAAACUAUACAAAAA